AUUGAACGCUGGCGGCAGGCCUAACACAUGCAAGUCGAACGAGUGGCGGACGGGUGAGUAAUGUCUGGGAAACUGCCCGAUGGCGGGGGAUAACUACUGGAAACGGUAGCUAAUACCGCAUACCAUCGGAUGUGCCAAGAUGGGAUGAGCUGGUAGGUGGGGUAACGGCUCACCUAGGCGUCGAUCCCUAGCUGGUCUGAGAGGAUGACCAGCCACACUGGAACUGGGACACGGUCCAGACUCCUACGGUAGGCAGCAGUGGGGAAUAUUGCACGAUGGGCGCAAGCCUGAUACAGCCAUGCCGCGUGUAUGAAGAGGGCCUUCGGGUUGUAAAGUACUUUCAGCGAGGAGGCGUUACUCGCAGAAGAAGCACCGGCUAACUCCGUGCCAGCAGCCGCGGUAAUUC
rnacentral:rRNA from 1 species